rnacentral:rRNA from 1 species
UGCGUAGGCGGUUUGAUAAGUUAGAGGUUAAAUGUCAGUGCUCAACACUGGCCUGCCUCUAAUACUGUUGGACUAGAGAGUAGAUGCGGUAGGCGGAAUGUAUGGUGUAGCGGUGAAAUGCGUAGAGAUCAUACAGAACACCGAUUGCGAAGGCAGCUUACCAAACUAUAUCUGACGUUGAGGCACGAAAGCGUGGGUAGCAAACAGGAUUAGAUACCCCCGUA